rnacentral:misc_RNA from 1 species
AUAUAUAUAUGUAUGUAUAUUAAACAAGUCAGGUACCUAAAUCCAUCAAAGUAAACAAAGGGUAGGAAGAUAUAUAUUGACCAUUUCAUAACCGUGUAAAAGAAACCUAUAACAAAACCCUGGAGAAACGCACAUAAUAAUGAAGCUCGCUACUAUAUAAAGGUUCUCUCAUGGUUAAGCUUUGAGGAAAAGAACAUGGCAACAGAUGCAGAAAACUUGCAAUCACACGCAAAAUAUGUGCAGUUGUUAUAAUUAUAAAAAUGAAAGCAACAACUUCAAUAACUAAAGAGUAGGCUAUUGAAAAAAAAAAAUUGACAGGUGACAGCAUACCAUACCAUAAUAAGAUGAUCGUCCA